rnacentral:tRNA from 1 species
GGGCGGUUAGCUCAGCUGGGAGAGCGCCAGAAUCGCACUCUGGAGGUCGGGGGUUCAAAUCCCCUACCGUCCA